rnacentral:rRNA from 1 species
ACCCGCUGAACUUAAGCAUAUCAUA